GCAAAGAAGACAAACAGCCCAUAUCUCCAUCUUUCAACUAGAAUCUUCCUUCUUCACAAAUCCCCCACCUGCCUUGCAACAGCAGGAUGCAGUCCUGAUAACCAUAUCUCUUUUGACAGCCAUGAGCCACAGGAAAAUGCCACUGGAUCACCCCCUUGGCCCUGGGGGCUGAACUUUGCCGAAGAUGGGAACCAAGGUGCAAGUCAAGAUAUCACCCUCGUUAUGUCACGGGUCUUCUCAAGAACAAAGGAUGAACAACAUCAACAACAAGAACAACAACUCUGUGAUGCUGUGAACUUCUUUUUAUCUUGCCUUUUUUUGAAAGGAAAGACACAUUAAACAUUAAACCACUGUCUG